ensembl:misc_RNA
UGGUGCUGUGCUCUGACUUACUAACCCAGCCCCUACUAACCUCGUUUUCUCUUCUUACUAACCCCCGGCCCUGCCGAGCUCUGGGC